UUGAACGCUGGCGGCAGGCCUAACACAUGCAAGUCGAACGGUAACAGGAAGCAGCUUGCUGCUUUGCUGACGAGUGGCGGACGGGUGAGUAAUGUCUGGGAAACUGCCCGAUGGAGGGGGAUAACUACUGGAAACGGUAGCUAAUACCGCAUAACGUCGCAAGACCAAAGAGGGGGACCUUAGGGCCUCUUGCCAUCGGAUGUGCCCAGAUGGGAUUAGCUAGUAGGUGGGGUAACGGCUCACCUAGGCGACGAUCCCUAGCUGGUCUGAGAGGAUGACCAGCCACACUGGAACUGAGACACGGUCCAGACUCCUACGGGAGGCAGCAGUGGGGAAUAUUGCACAACGGGCGCAAGCCUGAUGCAGCCAUGCCGCGUGUAUGAAGAAGGCCUUCGGGUUGUAAAGUACUUUCAGCGGGGAGGAAGGGAGUAAAGUUAAUACCUUUGCUCAUUGACGUUACCCGCAGAAGAAGCACCGGCUAACUCCGUG
rnacentral:rRNA from 1 species